AUGUCCACGCCGGCCUCCGUGUCCACCGUCGGCGACCUGAGGGGCCUCGCCGCCUCCAACCUCGAUUCGCUCAAGUGCCGCCUCGACGCGCUCCACCUCCCACUCCAGCAUCUCCAAGCGCAUCACGUUGUCUCUCUUGCUUGUGGUAACCUUUACCUAGCUGAAUCAUUUCUAUAUUUCCUGUCACAGAUUGACUGCAGAAAACGCAGAAAAGAAGAUGUGAAACCUGAAAGGCUUGGCCUGGCUGGACACCUGAAGUUGCUGCACUUUCAGUCCGACGCAAGUUCAGGAAAACUCGCAACCGCUACAGAUGUGGAGAAGGAGGUGGCGGGCUGCGCCUCAGCACUGUCGGAGCAGAAGGUGAUGGCAUCGAGUGGCGUAGUCCAUCCCGAUGCGCAGCCUGGCGAGGAGCAGGAGGAGGAUGAUGGUUGGGGGAAAAAGAGGAAGCUCGACCUUACUGGGUUCAAGGACCCGUACGAUCCAGGGUAUAGUGACGACGAAGAGUAUGAGUAUGUCUCUGGAGAACAUGUGCAUGUGGACAACUGCAACUUCGCAUCCUUCAAAGCGAAGGAAGAGGAGAAGAUCAGGGCCAAGGGAGAUGAUUACUACUACAAGCGCACAACCAACAUUUGGUGCUGCCCCUACUGCACCACCAAGCCAAAGGCAAAGUACGGCUACUUCGUUCACCUUCUAGCUCAUGCAGAAGAUGUAGCAUCCAUGGCGAGGACUACAAGAUCAGGGGGCAACAUGCUGCCCUCGCGAAAGUCCUGA
rnacentral:rRNA from 1 species